rnacentral:rRNA from 1 species
UUAACCUGGCCUUGACAUACUAAGAACUUCCAGAGAUGGAUUGGUGCCUUCGGGAACUUAGAUACAGGUGCUGCAUGGCUGUCGUCAGCUCGUGUCGUGAGAUGUUGGGUUAAGUCCCGCAACGAGCGCAACCCUUUUCCUUAUUUGCCAGCGGGUUAAGCCGGGAACUUUAAGGAUACUGCCAGUGACAAACUGGAGGAAGGCGGGGACGACGUCAAGUCAUCAUGGCCCUUACGGCCAGGGCUACACACGUGCUACAAUGGUCGGUACAAAGGGUUGCUACCUCGCGAGAGGAUGCUAAUCUCAAAAAGCCGAUCGUAGUCCGGAUCGCAGUCUGCAACUCGACUGCGUGAAGUCGGAAUCGCUAGUAAUCGCGGAUCAGAAUGCCGCGGUGAAUACGUUCCCGGGCCUUGUACACACCGCCCGUCACACCAUGGGAGUUUGUUGCACCAGAAGUAGGUAGUCUAACCGCAAGGAGGACGCUUACCACGGUGUGGCCGAUGACUGGGGUGAAGUCGUAACAAGGUAAGCGUAGAUGA